GGGUUGUGAGGUUAAGCGAACAAGCGUACACGGUGGAUGCCCUGGCAGUCAGAGGCGAUGAAGGACGUGCUAAUCUGCGAAAAGCGCCGGUAAGGUGAUAUGAACCGUUAUAACCGGCGAUGUCCGAAUGGGGAAACCCGGUGCACUUCGGUGCAUCAUCGUUAGCUGAAUACAUAGGCUAACGAGGCGAACCGGGGGAACUGAAACAUCUAAGUACCCCGAGGAAAAGAAAUCAACCGAGAUUCCCCCAGUAGCGGCGAGCGAACGGGGAACAGCCCAGAGCCUGAAUCAGCUUGUGUGUCAGUGGAACGGUCUGGAAAGGCCGGCGAUACAGGGUGACAGCCCCGUACACGAAGGCACACAGGCUGUGAGCUCGAUGAGUAGGGCGGGACACGUGAUAUCCUGUCUGAAGAUGGGGGGACCAUCCUCCAAGGCUAAAUACUCCUGACUGACCGAUAGUGAACCAGUACCGUGAGGGAAAGGCGAAAAGAACCCCGGCGAGGGGAGUGAAACAGAACCUGAAACCGUGUACGUACAAGCAGUGGGAGCCUUCGUAAGAGGGUGACUGCGUACCUUUUGUAUAAUGGGUCAGCGACUUAUAUUCUGUAGCAAGGUUAACCGUAUAGGGGAGCCGAAGGGAAACCGAGUCUUAACCGGGCGUUAAGUUGCAGGGUAUAGACCCGAAACCCGGUGAUCUAGCCAUGGGCAGGUUGAAGGUUGGGUAACACUAACUGGAGGACCGAACCGACUAAUGUUGAAAAAUUAGCGGAUGACCUGUGGCUGGGGGUGAAAGGCCAAUCAAACCGGGAGAUAGCUGGUUCUCCCCGAAAGCUAUUUAGGUAGCGCCUCGUGAACUCAUCUCCGGGGGUAGAGCACUGUUUCGGCUAGGGGGCCAUCCCGGCUUACCAACCCGAUGCAAACUGCGAAUACCGGAGAAUGUUAUCACGGGAGACACACGGCGGGUGCUAACGUCCGUCGUGAAGAGGGAAACAACCCAGACCGCCAGCUAAGGUCCCAAAGUCAUGGUUAAGUGGGAAACGAUGUGGGAAGGCCCAGACAGCCAGGAUGUUGGCUUAGAAGCAGCCAUCAUUUAAAGAAAGCGUAAUAGCUCACUGGUCGAGUCGGCCUGCGCGGAAGAUGUAACGGGGCUAAACCAUGCACCGAAGCUGCGGCAGCGACACGUAUGUGUUGUUGGGUAGGGGAGCGUUCUGUAAGCCUGCGAAGGUGUGCUGUGAGGCAUGCUGGAGGUAUCAGAAGUGCGAAUGCUGACAUAAGUAACGAUAAAGCGGGUGAAAAGCCCGCUCGCCGGAAGACCAAGGGUUCCUGUCCAACGUUAAUCGGGGCAGGGUGAGUCGACCCCUAAGGCGAGGCCGAAAGGCGUAGUCGAUGGGAAACAGGUUAAUAUUCCUGUACUUGGUGUUACUGCGAAGGGGGGACGGAGAAGGCUAUGUCGGCCGGGCGACGGUUGUCCCGGUUUAAGCGUGUAGGCUGACUUUCCAGGCAAAUCCGGAAAGUUAAGGCUGAGGCGUGAUGACGAGGCACCACGGUGCUGAAGUGACAAAUGCCCUGCUUCCAGGAAAAGCCUCUAAGCAUCAGGUAACAUCAAAUCGUACCCCAAACCGACACAGGUGGUCAGGUAGAGAAUACCAAGGCGCUUGAGAGAACUCGGGUGAAGGAACUAGGCAAAAUGGUGCCGUAACUUCGGGAGAAGGCACGCUGACAUGUAGGUGAAGCCCCUGCGGGUGGAGCUGAAGUCAGUCGAAGAUACCAGCUGGCUGCAACUGUUUAUUAAAAACACAGCACUGUGCAAACACGAAAGUGGACGUAUACGGUGUGACGCCUGCCCGGUGCCGGAAGGUUAAUUGAUGGGGUUAUCGCAAGAGAAGCUCCUGAUCGAAGCCCCGGUAAACGGCGGCCGUAACUAUAACGGUCCUAAGGUAGCGAAAUUCCUUGUCGGGUAAGUUCCGACCUGCACGAAUGGCGUAAUGAUGGCCAGGCUGUCUCCACCCGAGACUCAGUGAAAUUGAACUCGCUGUGAAGAUGCAGUGUACCCGCGGCAAGACGGAAAGACCCCGUGAACCUUUACUACAGCUUGACACUGAACAUUGAGCCUUGAUGUGUAGGAUAGGUGGGAGGCUUUGAAGCGUGGACGCCAGUCUGCGUGGAGCCGACCUUGAAAUACCACCCUUUAAUGUUUGAUGUUCUAACCUGGCGCCGUGAUCCGGCGUGGGGACAGUGUCUGGUGGGUAGUUUGACUGGGGCGGUCUCCUCCCAAAGUGUAACGGAGGAGCACGAAGGUCAGCUAAUCCUGGUCGGACAUCAGGAGGUUAGUGCAAUGGCAUAAGCUGGCUUGACUGCGAGAGUGACGGCUCGAGCAGGUGCGAAAGCAGGUCAUAGUGAUCCGGUGGUUCUGUAUGGAAGGGCCAUCGCUCAACGGAUAAAAGGUACUCCGGGGAUAACAGGCUGAUACCGCCCAAGAGUUCAUAUCGACGGCGGUGUUUGGCACCUCGAUGUCGGCUCAUCACAUCCUGGGGCUGAAGUAGGUCCCAAGGGUAUGGCUGUUCGCCAUUUAAAGUGGUACGCGAGCUGGGUUUAGAACGUCGUGAGACAGUUCGGUCCCUAUCUGCCGUGGGCGCUGGAGAAUUGAGGGGGGCUGCUCCCAGUACGAGAGGACCGGAGUGGACGCAUCACUGGUGUUCGGGUUGUCAUGCCAAUGGCACUGCCCGGUAGCUAAAUGCGGAAGAGAUAAGUGCUGAAAGCAUCUAAGCACGAAACUUGCCCCGAGAUGAGUUCUCCCUGAGACUGUAAGUCUCCUGAAGGAACGUUGAAGACGACGACGUUGAUAGGCCGGGUGUGUAAGCGCAGCGAUGCGUUGAGCUAACCGGUACUAAUGAACCGUGAGGCUUAACCUUACAACGCCAAAGAAGU
rnacentral:rRNA from 1 species